UGGAUCCAGACUUGAUUCUGGCUCAGGAUGAACGCUAGCUACAGGCUUAACACAUGCAAGUCGAGGGGAAACGGCAUCGAAAGCUUGCUUUUGGUGGGCGUCGACCGGCGCACGGGUGAGUAACGCGUAUCCAACCUGCCCACCACUUGGGGAUAACCUUGCGAAAGUAAGACUAAUACCCAAUGACGUCUCUAGAAGACAUCUGAAAGAGAUUAAAGAUUUAUCGGUGAUGGAUGGGGAUGCGUCUGAUUAGCUUGUUGGCGGGGUAACGGCCCACCAAGGCGACGAUCAGUAGGGGUUCUGAGAGGAAGGUCCCCCACAUUGGAACUGAGACACGGUCCAAACUCCUACGGGAGGCAGCAGUGAGGAAUAUUGGUCAAUGGGCGAGAGCCUGAACCAGCCAAGUAGCGUGCAGGAUGACGGCCCUAUGGGUUGUAAACUGCUUUUAUAAGGGAAUAAAGUGAGUCUCGUGAGACUUUUUGCAUGUACCUUAUGAAUAAGGACCGGCUAAUUCCGUGCCAGCAGCCGCGGUAAUACGGAAGGUCCGGGCGUUAUCCGGAUUUAUUGGGUUUAAAGGGAGCGUAGGCCGGAGAUUAAGCGUGUUGUGAAAUGUAGACGCUCAACGUCUGCACUGCAGCGCGAACUGGUUUCCUUGAGUACGCACAAAGUGGGCGGAAUUCGUGGUGUAGCGGUGAAAUGCUUAGAUAUCACGAAGAACUCCGAUUGCGAAGGCAGCUCACUGGAGCGCAACUGACGCUAAAGCUCGAAAGUGCGGGUAUCGAACAGGAUUAGAUACCCUGGUAGUCCGCACGGUAAACGAUGGAUGCCCGCUGUUGGUCUGAACAGGUCAGCGGCCAAGCGAAAGCAUUAAGCAUCCCACCUGGGGAGUACGCCGGCAACGGUGCAACUCAAAUGAAUUGACGGA
rnacentral:rRNA from 1 species